rnacentral:rRNA from 1 species
AACGUAGGACGCAAGGCGUUAUCCGGAGUUACGUGGGCGUAAAGCGCGGGCAGGCGGUCGGGCAAGUGGGGUGUGAAAUCUCUCAGCUUAACUGGGAGAGGCCAUUCCAAACUGACUUGACUGGAGGGCAGGUAGAAGGUAGGCGGAAUUCCGGGUGGAGUGGUGAAAUGCGGUAGAAGAUCCGGAGGAACACCAGAGGC